UCGGGUAUGGUGUAACGGCUAACAUUGCCGCCUCUCAAACUUUAAAGAGUGUCGCGGCAGCUCGGGGUUCGAUUCCCCGUACCCGAA